GUGUUGCUUUGGCAGCUCGUAUACUGAAAUUAGAAUAACAUGGAGAUUAGCAUGGCCUCUGUUCAAGAACAACAUGUAAAUUCAUGAAGCAUUCCAUUUUUUU